rnacentral:lncRNA from 1 species
GACCUGUUUUCCAACAUUGUACAAGUCUUUUAUAAGUUGUCUUCUCAUCCUCACUUUAAACAACUAAGAAACUGCCGUCUGCUCUAACCAGUUUAAUCAGUAAAUACGCUGAGGCACACACUGACUUUAGAUGCAGUCUAUGUACUAUAUAUACAAUUGCCACUUUAAGAAUCUCAACUGUGUCACUUCCCACAGCUAUUUCCAGGUUGUCUGUUAUACUCAGAUGUUGCCUGUCCAGGAACCCAAUUCCUGCCUUGCUGUUAGCCCAUCUUCCUAAAAAGUAAUCCUUAAACUAUCUGGCACUGUGGCCCAGGAUCACAUUCUUAGAAGAGUGCCAUGGAAGGGCAGCUAUGGCUCCUACUUGCUGCACCCAAGUACAUUACAAGGAGAACAUAAUCACCUCCAAAAGAUGUCUGACAAGCUAUAUAGGGUAGCGAUUACAGAGAUCAUUAACUCCCCAAAAUCCAUUUUUUUCUGGAGAAUGUGUGACCAUGGGCAAUAGGGGUUUCUUCCCUGGACAAGAGUUAGAAGAGGAAAAAAGGAAUCCACACCAAUUAACUUUAUUUCAGAUUGCCUUCAUCCACAACUGUGGGGACUCAGAAUCUGCAUUUUGACAAGCACCCAGUUGAUUCUGGCCAAGUUCUACUCCAGUAGAACACUAGAUGUUCUGGUUUUUAAGAGGGAGACUAAAAUGUUUACCUUUACUUCCUACAUCAUAGUCUUGGCAUUCAACAUUUACUUAACAUCUACCAUGUGCCAAGCACCGUUCUGUAAGUCCCAGGGUCCGAGCAGUCACCAAAAGUCCCUGCCCCCAUGGAGCUUACAUUCUAGCAGAGGGCGACUGACAGAACCAAAGAUACAAAAAUAGCAAAGCAAUCUGGAAAGGCAGUUGUCCAUUUUUAAAAAUAAAAGAUUCCUGGUUAUAAUAAACUAAAUGUGGAUUUUGAAAGGUAUCUUAAUCCCAUUUUACCGAAAACACUCAAAGGCAGUAUUUUAGCAUUGCAGCAUCUGCCCCACAUUCUAACAGACAUAUAGAUACAUUAAUAGAUAUACACGUUAAAGGAAACUGCAAAGAAAUGAUCAAGGCCAGUAAAUAAGACAAAAGUGUUGGUGAUAAUUUAUUUUCAAUGACCUGGUGAGUCUCCUAGUCUUCCUCAUAUGUGCCUAUGGUCUUAAACUAAAUAACCUAUAAAAUUAUCAGCACUGAAGCCCUGAUCACCAUGGUUUGCUCUACCUGCCCAGGGCUGUCUUUUCCCAUAUCAACACUCUUCCAAAUCAAGGACCUCAGCCCCCUUUAUUAUCCUAGUCAUCACUUUCCCAGUCCAAAUACUCAUUAAACAGAUAACCAAGUCUGAGUGGGGCCACAGGCUAAAAUAUAGCUUAGCUACUUAGCUAA